GAUGAACGCUGGCGGCGUGCCUAAUACAUGCAAGUCGAGCGAACGGACGAGAAGCUUGCUUCUCUGAUGUUAGCGGCGGACGGGUGAGUAACACGUGGAUAACCUACCUAUAAGACUGGGAUAACUUCGGGAAACCGGAGCUAAUACCGGAUAAUAUUUUGAACCGCAUGGUUCAAAAGUGAAAGACGGUCUUGCUGUCACUUAUAGAUGGAUCCGCGCUGCAUUAGCUAGUUGGUAAGGUAACGGCUUACCAAGGCAACGAUGCAUAGCCGACCUGAGAGAGUGAUCGGCCACACUGGAACUGAGACACGGCCCAGACUCCUACGGGAGGCAGCAGUAGGGAAUCUUCCGCAAUGGGCGAAAGCCUGACGGAGCAACGCCGCGUGAGUGAUGAAGGUCUUCGGAGCGUAAAACUCUGUUAUUAGGGAAGAACAGAUGUGUAAGUAACUGUGCACAUCUUGACGGUACCUAAUCAGAAAGCCACGGCUAACUACGUG
rnacentral:rRNA from 1 species